CCCGCACAAGCGGAGGAACAUGUGGUUUAAUUCGAUGAUACGCGAGGAACCUUACCUGGGCUUAAAUGGGGAGUGACAGCUGUCGAAAAAUGGUUUUCUUCGGACACUCUUCAAGGUGCUGCAUGGUUGUCGUCAGCUCGUGCCGUGAGGUGUCGGGUUAAGUCCCAUAACGAGCGCAACCCUUACCGUUAGUUACCAUCAGGUUAAGCUGAGGACUCUAGCGGGACUGCACCGUAAGGUGAGAGGAAGGUGGGGAUGACGUCAAAUCAGCACGGCCCUUAUGUCCAGGGCUACACACGUGUUACAAUGGCCAGUACAAAGGGCAGCUACCGGGUGACCGGAUGCUAAUCUCUAAAGCUGGUCUCAGUUCGGAUCGAAGUCUGCAACCCGACUUCGUGAAGCUGGAUUCGCUAGUAAUCGCGCAUCAGCCAUGGCGCGGUGAAUACGUUCCCGGGCCUU
rnacentral:rRNA from 1 species